AGUGUAUUUUCAAACAGAGCCUCAUCCACUGUCAGCAGUUAAAAAUAGUCGUAUUAGGUCAGUGAGAAGGCUCACCAGGCAAAAGCACUUUGCUUCUAAGCCCAAUGACCUGAGUUCAAUCCCUGUGACCCACACGGUGGAAGAAGAAAGCCAACUCCUAUUGGUUGUCCUCUGACUUUUACAGAUAAUACAAUGCUCAAAUCUUGAGCAUAAUCAUCAGCCAAACCAGGAUGAGGCAGGAAGCAUUGUCAUUAUCUCCAAACUUCCUGUGUGGCCUUUCUGAUCAAUACAACUCUCUCCCAAGAGGAGACACUAAGAUGGCUAAUUCUCAAAGAAGUGACUUUGAAUUCUGGCAUCUCCAACAAGGAACAACAGAUUUCCGGAGAAACGAUGGACAAAGAAAAGUGCUGAGUCUCCAGGGGCAGCAACGUGUGAGAAGAAAAAGGCAUGGCAAAAAGGAAAGGCUGGAUAAUGACAAUUUCUAGAUGCCAUCUUCAGUCUCAUAAGGUCUACAGGACUCUUCAGUGGUUACUCUUUGCUGUCCCACAACCUUUCUUGGUCCCCAGCUGCUCUUUGGGACAUUGGUAGAACCUAUGGAAGGUAAAGCCUUCUUGGAAGAAGUAGGUCACUAGGGGAAGGCCUUGAGAUUUAGAGCUUGUCUUUACUCCCUCUUUACUAUUGGCUUCCUGACUGCAGAUGUGAUGUGACUAGCCAUUCUUCCUCUUUCUGCCAUGCUUUUCUCACCAUGAUGGAUUGUAUCCUCUCAAACUAAGCAAAAAGAAACCCUUCCUUCCUCCAGUUACUUCUUUCCAGGUGUUUUGACAGAGAAGCAAGAAGAGUGACUGAUAUAACGGUUGGAAUAGAUGGGCACUGUUGGAUUGUUUGGGUGUGCGUGAUAGGCAACAGGAGAUCUAGUGAAACUUCACUCACAUGUGUAAAUAAUGAUGGGGAAGAAUUAUAUCAUACUACAAAACUA